CAGCCUUUGGACCUCGGAGAGGCCUCUAAACUAUUGGCUAUUGAGUGCGUCACGUUAGCGGCGGGUCCUUCCGAUGGCCAAUAAGCGCUGGCUUUGCUCCCAAGGGUUUCUGGGAGUUGUAGUUCCUGCGAAACCACCGCCCGUAAAUCUUCACACUCCACCUCAAGUGCUUCAACCUCUUCCCACGCAGGUCUCAUCCGUUCUCUUAGAAGAGGGGCCAUGAAUGGAGUCUCUGUUAGCUUAGCGUGUGAACAGGCCCUGGGUUCCCUGGGUUCAAUUCCCAGGACCAAGGAAGCGGAGGAUUCUGGAAGGACAAAAAUAUCUUCCUAGAUUCUGGUUUGGUUUGGGUAGAGCCAGUGGGUUAACGGUGGUUAGUCUGGCCAGGAUCCGGAGCAGCCACGUCAGGGUCGCUUCCCCCGGGCCCCGCCCCGGCCGACCCCACCUUGUCGCACAGCUCCACCCGCCGCCCCCUUCCCGGCGGCCCCUCCCCGCGCAGGUCCUGACUCCAGCCGCACCUCCUCCGGCUCUGCAGUGGCGGCAAGAAGGCGAGCCGGAGCGCCUGCGGGGUCCGGCCUGAGCGGAGCCGGGGUCGGGGCAACCGCGAGGACCCCCUCGGAGGCGGGGCCUGUGGGACCGCUAUGGGCGUGGAGAUCGAGACCAUCUCCCCAGGAGACGGAAGGACAUUCCCUAAGAAGGGUCAGAUAUGCGUGGUGCACUAUACAGGAAUGCUCCAAAAUGGCAAGAAAUUCGAUUCAUCCAGAGACAGAAACAAACCUUUCAAGUUCAGAAUUGGCAAACAGGAAGUCAUCAAAGGCUUUGAAGAAGGCGCUGCCCAGACAAGAUCUCCAUAUUACAGUUGGCGAUCUCCAUAUGCAUUUAGGCUGGCUGCAAACUCAUUCCACCCAUGUUAGCCUCCCAAGUGCUGAAAUUCCAGGCACAGACCACCCAACCUAGCUCAAAAGUGGUAAUGUGUUUUAUUACCAUGGUGCCUUGCAACAUACCGAACUUGCUAACAUUCAUUUGAAAGCUAGAGAUCUACUUUCUUCCAUCAUUAUCACCACCACCACCAGCAGCAGCAGCAGCAGCAGCACCAGCAGCAGCAGCAGCAGCACCACCACCACCACCACCACCACGUGCAUUUGCAUUAGGUGCAACAUGUGCCGCAGCAUGGUUGUGAAGUACUGAGGAUUGAACUCAAGGCCUUGAACACUCAAAUAAUAAGCUGUAUCUCUAGUCCUAUCCAUUUGCUUAUAUAUAUGGGUGGUUCCUAUGGAUCAUGCAGCAAUGCUAUCAACACAAAGGCAUCGCCUUUGCCAAGAAAGACAGGCCUUCCCUUCCCACCGGCUUCUAGUCCUCGGCUGUGGGCACAGCUCAUCUGGUCCUCCCUAUCCACCUAAAACAAAGUACUGGACUCCUCUUCACUUACUCCUCAAACCUGUUAAAUGUAUACGGUGAGCUAGGUAUUAAGAGAGAUGCCUUGAAGAAAAGAAAGGUGUCUACCUUCCCUGCAUGUUC